rnacentral:rRNA from 1 species
CCAGUAAUGCAGCUAACGCAUUAAGCAUCCCGCCUGGGGAGUACGGUCGCAAGAUUAAAACUCAAAGGAAUAGACGGGGACCCGCACAAGCGGUGGAGCAUGUGGUUUAAUUCGAAGAUACACGAAGAACCUUACCUAGGCUUGACAUUGAGAGAAUCCGCUAGAAAUAGUGGAGUGUUUGGCUUGCCAGACCUUGAAAACAGGUGCUGCACGGCUGUCGUCAGCUCGUGUCGUGAGAUGUUGGGUUAAGUCCCGCAACGAGCGCAACCCCCUUUCUUAGUUGCUAACAGGUUAUGCUGAGAACUCUAAGGAUACUGCCUCCGUAAGGAGGAGGAAGGUGGGGACGACGUCAAGUCAUCAUGGCCCUUACGCCUAGGGCUACACACGUGCUACAAUGGGGUGCACAAAGAGAAGCAAUACUGCGAAGUGGAGCCAAUCUUCAAAACAUCUCUCAGUUCGGAUUGUAGGCUGCAACUCGCCUGCAUGAAGCUGGAAUCGCUAGUAAUCGCAAAUCAGCCAUGUUGCGGUGAAUACGUUCCCGGGUCUUGUACUCACCGCCCGUCACACCAUGGGAGUUGUGUUUGCCUUAAGUCAGGAUGCUAAAUUGGCUACUGCCCACGGCACACACAGCG